AGAUAGAUAGAUAGAUAGAAAGAAAAUAGUUGAUAUCUGGCUGUCCUUUUUAUAAUGAAGAGUGAGAACUUUCCCUACCAUGUCUGAUAAAUAUUGUCCAGGUUCCAUUGCCAAGAAUGUGUUGUCCAAAAUGCAUGUUUAGUUUUUAAAGAUGGAACUCCACCCUUUGCUUGGUUUUAAGUAUGUCUAGAAUGUUAUGAUAGGACAUAGUAGUAGUGGUGGUCAGACAAAUGAAAAUGGUGGGGAGAUAAAAAUAUACAUGUGAAAUAAACUCAGUAUUUUAAUAAAGUAAAAAAAAAGUUCUAGAAGAUUUCAUUGGUAGUCUGCCUCAGUUGCUUAGGAAGUGUCCCUCCUCCUUUUCUCUCUGCUCCAUAAUUUGGAAAUGCACUCUUUUUGUGACUUGUAUCUCCUGGAGCUCCUGCAGAUCAGGGCUGAGGAAGAGAAGCUACCUCCUCAGCGCACCUGCUUGCCAAGUCCCCCAGAGACAGGACUCUGAGGGAGGGGAGCGCUCAGGCGGAGGACCUGUGGAAGGCAAAAGGACACAGAGGAAGCAGCAGCUUCCCAACCUCCCCAGACAUCAGAAGAUCAGCUUCUACAGUCACUCUAUCAUGAUCCUCCCAGCAGGGAUCUUGCCGCAAACUGUUAUCAUCAAGAAGCUUGUCCAGAUCGCUGCAAAAGACAAGACGUGUGCUGCAGUUGGGAGCAGAAUGAGGAUAGGAGGGCCCAGUAGGCCUGGCAGGAGUCACGUUCCCUACAUCACUGACUUCAAGAUGCUUCUUUUUUUCUUCAAGGAGGGUGCUUCUUUCAACUUCCCUUCCCUAUAGGAUUACCCUCUCAUGUCAACCUCGGUUGCACAGGGGCCCUGCAGUCACAGAAGCCAUAUGCUAGGAAGGGGGGGAAGGAAAGAAGGAGAAGAGCUUCAUCAAUACCCGUUUUUCCAGCGAGUCAACAGGUCCCAUGUCACAUGUGCUCCUUUCUGGCAAACUCUCCAAGCUGGGAAAGAAGGAGACUUGGUCACAUGCAGUGAAGCUUUACUGAGGUACAGUUGUUUAAAAUGUACAAUUUGAUGAGUUUUAACAUAUAAAUAUACCAGUGAAACCACCACAACAAUCAAGAAGUUGAGAAGAUCAACCAAUUUUCUAUAAAACAAUCAGAGCUCCUGAAGGCCCAGUUUGGAUGCCGGAGACACCUGCCAUGCCUGACUUCACGGGGUGUCAGUUCUGCCUUGUUCCUGCUGCAUUCCGGCUUCGUAUGUCAGCACCUCAUGAAAAUCUUCCAGGUCCUUGCUUUGAAUAGCGCCUUGGCUGCCUGGGAGUGAAGAGGCUGGCUCUGUUUUGCCUGUCAAAUCAUCCGCUUUGUCUGUCUACGAGCAGGUGUGUAGUGGAUUGAAAGGGAGCCCCCCAAAGAUAUGUCCAUGUCCUAAUCCCUGGAACUUGUGAAUGUGACCUUAUUUGGAAAAAGAGUCUUUGCAGAUUUAAUUAACUCCAAGAAUUUGAGAUCUACCCUAAAUCCAAUGACAAAUGCCCUUAUGAAAGACACACAGAGGAGAGACACAAAGAGAAGAGGAGAAGCCCAUGUGAAGAAGGAGGCGGAGACUGGAGUGAGUAGCCACAAGCCAAGGAACACCAACAGCCAGCAGAAGAGGCAACAAAUGGAUUCAGAUUUCUCUAAAGCCUCUGGAGGGAGAAUGACCUUGCCAACACCUUGAUUUUGGACUUCUAACUUCCAGAAUUGUAACCAUCUUCUUACAGGCCUCCUAUCUCCAGCUUCUGCCCCCUCCAGCCCUCCCCGACACCAGCAGCCAGAGGAACUUUCCUAAAGCACAGCUCUGAUUAUGAUACGUCCCACCUCAAAAACAUGCAAUGACAACUUACUGCCCACAUGACAAAGUUUAAACUGUAAGCCUGGCAUUCAAGCCAUCCCUGAUCUGGCUCCUUUAUCUCUCUCCAAGCUCAUUUCCUUCUUCCACCCUUCACACAUCUU